rnacentral:rRNA from 1 species
AGUGAACGCUGGCGGCAGGCCUAACACAUGCAAGUCGAGCGGACGCACGGUAAGCGCUCGCUCCUGCGGUUGGCGACGGGCGGGCGAGUAAGACGUAGAUCGCAUUCUACUUAGUCUUGGGUAAUAACGGGGGACCGCUUACACUACUGGCGCAUACGUCGAACGGGUGGGAUCAAGGGAGCUUCAGGGUCUUGCUGAUACUAUGAGAUGGUUCCGGGUUGGAUUAGCUAGUUGGUAAGGUAACGGCUUACCAAGGCUACGAUGCGUAGCUGACCUGAGAGGAUGAUCAGCCACACUGGAACUGAGACACGGUCCAGACUCCUACGGGAGGCAGCAGUGGGGAAUAUUGGGCAAUGGGCGAAAGCCUGACCCAGCCAUGCCGCGUGAGUGAAGAAGGUCUUCGGAUCGUAAAGCUCUGUUAUUGGGGAAGAAAAGCAGUAGGUUAAUACCUCGCUGUUUUGACGGUACCUAAAGAAUAAGCACCGGCUAACUUCGUG